UUUGGUCUCAAAUCAGGUAGGAUUACCCGCUGAACUUAAGCAUAUCAAUAAGCGGAGGAAAAGAAACUAACAAGGAUUCCCCUAGUAACUGCGAGUGAAGCGGGAAGAGC
rnacentral:rRNA from 1 species